rnacentral:rRNA from 1 species
CCUACGGGAGGCAGCAGUGGGGAAUAUUGCACAAUGGGGGAAACCCUGAUGCAGCGACGCCGCGUGAGUGAAGAAGUAUUUCGGGAUGUAAAGCUCUAUCAGCAGGAACGAGACAAGACGGUACCUGACUAAGAAGCCCCGGCUAACUACGUGCCAGCAGCCGCGGUAAUAAGUAGGGGGCAAGCGUUAUCCGGAAUCACUGGGUGUAAAGGGAGCGUAGACGGCUGUGCAAGCCUGAAGUGAAAGGCGGGGGCCCAACCCCUGGACUGCUUUGGGAACUGUACGGCUGGAGUGCAGGAGGGGUAAGUGGAAUUCCUAGUGUAGCGGUGAAAUGCGUAGAUAUUAGGAGGAACACCAGUGGCGAAGGCGGGUUACUGGACUGUAACUGACGUUGAGGCUCGAAGGCGUGGGGAGCAAACAGGAUUAGAUACCCCAGUAGUC